rnacentral:rRNA from 1 species
UACGGGGGGAGCAAGCGUUGUUCGGAUUUACUGGGCGUAAAGGGUGCGUAGGUGGCGUCGUAAGUCAGGUGUGAAAUCUCGGGGCUUAACUCCGAAACUGCAUUUGAUACUGCGGUGCUUGAGGACUGGAGAGGAGACUGGAAUUUACGGUGUAGCAGUGAAAUGCGUAGAGAUCGUAAGGAAGACCAGUGGCGAAGGCGGGUCUCUGGACAGUUCCUGACACUGAGGCACGAAGGCCAGGGGAGCAAACGGG